GACGAACGCUGGCGGCGUGCUUAACACAUGCAAGUCGAACGGAAAGGCCCUGCUUUUGUGGGGUGCUCGAGUGGCGAACGGGUGAGUAACACGUGAGUAACCUGCCCUUGACUUUGGGAUAACUUCAGGAAACUGGGGCUAAUACCGGAUAGGAGCUCCUGCUGCAUGGUGGGGGUUGGAAAGUUUCGGCGGUUGGGGAUGGACUCGCGGCUUAUCAGCUUGUUGGUGGGGUAGUGGCUUACCAAGGCUUUGACGGGUAGCCGGCCUGAGAGGGUGACCGGCCACAUUGGGACUGAGAGAAGGCCCAGACUCCUAAGGGAGGCAGCAGUGGGGAAGAUUGCACAAUGGGCGGAAGCCUGAUGCAGCAACGCCGCGUGCGGGAUGACGGCCUUCGGGUUGUAAACCGCUUUCGCCUGUGACGAAGCGUGAGUGACGGUAAUGGGUAAAGAAGCAACGGCUAACUACGUG
rnacentral:rRNA from 1 species